GAGUUUGAUCAUGGCUCAGGAUGAACGCUGGCGGCGUGCCUAAUACAUGCAAGUCGAGCGAACCACUUCGGUGGGAAGCGGCGAACGGGUGAGUAACACGUAGGUGAUCUGCCCAUCAGACGGGGACAACGAUUGGAAACGAUCGCUAAUACCGGAUAGGACGAAAGUUUAAAGAUGCUCCUGGCAUCACUGAUGGAUGAGCCUGCGGCGCAUUAGCUAGUUGGUGGGGUAAAGGCCUACCAAGGCGACGAUGCGUAGCCGACCUGAGAGGGUGAACGGCCACACUGGGACUGAGACACGGCCCAGACUCCUACGGGAGGCAGCAGUAGGGAAUCUUCGGCAAUGGGCGAAAGCCUGACCGAGCAACGCCGCGUGAAUGAAGAAGGCCUUCGGGUUGUAAAAUUCUGUUAUAAGGGAAGAAAGGUGAUAGGAGGAAAUGACUAUCAAUUGACGGUACCUUAUGAGAAAGCCACGGCUAACUACGUGCCAGCAGCCGCGGUAAUACGUAGGUGGCAAGCGUUAUCCGGAAUUAUUGGGCGUAAAGAGCGCGCAGGUGGUUAAUUAAGUCUGAUGUGAAAGCCCACGGCUUAACCGUGGAGGGUCAUUGGAAACUGGUUGACUUGAGUGCAGAAGAGGGAAGUGGAAUUCCAUGUGUAGCGGUGAAAUGCGUAGAGAUAUGGAGGAACACCAGUGGCGAAGGCGGCUUCCUGGUCUGCAACUGACACUGAGGCGCGAAAGCGUGGGGAGCAAACAGGAUUAGAUACCCUGGUAGUCCACGCCGUAAACGAUGAGUGCUAAGUGUUGGGGGUCGAACCUCAGUGCUGAAGUUAACGCAUUAAGCACUCCGCCUGGGGAGUACGGUCGCAAGACUGAAACUCAAAGGAAUUGACGG
rnacentral:rRNA from 1 species